AUGGAAGAUGUUGUGCUUCUAUUUCUUCAUGCUAGGACGCCCAGAGAUACCAAGUUGAAGAACCAGAAAAAAAUGGAUAAGCUCUCAUAUCAUUCUAACAUCUCAGAUCUGUCAAGCAACAAAGAAAAACACAACAGAAGCAAACCUGGAGUUCAAUCUCGAAUUUCUAAGGUAAACGUACUGGGACAAGAUGCUUACCACCAAGAAUGUUGUUACAGUGCAGAAAGACAAAAAGAAAACACGAACCCAGUAGUUCCGCACAACUAUGGAGUACAUCAAGACCAACUGUAUGCUGCACAAAACAAAGAACUUAGAAAGCAGGAAUUAAAUGAAGUUCAGAUUGGAAAUCAAAGUUGCAAAAUGAUGAAUGAACUGCUUGCACCAGAAGGAUUUCCGCAGUCGUACACACAACUCAUGAAACAAAUGACUCUCAUGAGUCAUCUCCAAAGUGACAACAUGACUAUCCCUAUAACAAGUUUCACUUCGCUCUUGACAACAAGCAUGGAUGAUCAGUUCACAAUGAAACAACAGAUCCAAUAUCAAGCAGCUAUCAAAAUGAAGAAGCAGAUGAAGGUGCACCUAUGA
rnacentral:rRNA from 1 species